rnacentral:rRNA from 1 species
GAUGAACGCUGGCGGCGUGCUUAACACAUGCAAGUCGAACGAACCUUCGGGUUAGUGGCGGACGGGUGAGUAACGCGUGGGAAUCUGCCCUCAGGAGGGGGAUAACGGCUGGAAACGGCCGCUAAUACCCCAUAUGCCGAGAGGUGAAACGAAUUUCGCCUGAGGAUGAGCCCGCGUUUGAUUAGCUAGUUGGUGGGGUAAGAGCCUACCAAGGCGACGAUCAGUAGCUGGUCUGAGAGGAUGAUCAGCCACACUGGGACUGAGACACGGCCCAGACUCCUACGGGAGGCAGCAGUGGGGAAUUUUCCGCAAUGGGCGAAAGCCUGACGGAGCAACGCCGCGUGAGGGACGAAGGCCUCUGGGCUGUAAACCUCUUUUCUCAAGGAAGAAGAUCUGACGGUACCUUGAGGAAUAAGCCACGGCUAAUUCCGUGCCAGCAGCCGCGGUAAUACGAGAGUGGCAAGCGUUAUCCGGAAUUAUUGGGCGUAAAGCGUCCGCAGGCGGCUUUGUAAGUCUGCUGUCAAAACGUGGAGCUUAACUCCAUUUCGGCAGUGGAAACUACGAGGCUUGAGUGUGGUAGGGGCAGAGGGAAUUCCCGGUGUAGCGGUGAAAUGCGUAGAUAUCGGGAAGAACACCAGUGGCGAAGGCGCUCUGCUGGGCCAUAACUGACGCUCAUGGACGAAAGCCAGGGGAGCGAAAGGGAUUAGAUACCCCUGUAGUCCUGGCCGUAAACGAUGAACACUAGGUGUCGGGGGAAUCGACCCCCUCGGUGUCGUAGCCAACGCGUUAAGUGUUCCGCCUGGGGAGUACGCACGCAAGUGUGAAACUCAAAGGAAUUGACGGGGGCCCGCACAAGCGGUGGAGUAUGUGGUUUAAUUCGAUGCAACGCGAAGAACCUUACCAGGGUUUGACAUCCUGCGAAUCCCUUGGAAAGCUUGGGAGUGCCUUCGGGAGCGCAGAGACAGGUGGUGCAUGGCUGUCGUCAGCUCGUGUCGUGAGAUGUUGGGUUAAGUCCCGCAACGAGCGCAACCCACGUCUUUAGUUGCCAGCAUUAAGUUGGGCACUCUAGAGAGACCGCCGGUGAUAAACCGGAGGAAGGUGUGGAUGACGUCAAGUCAUCAUGCCCCUUACAUCCUGGGCUACACACGUACUACAAUGCUACGGACAAAGGGCAGCAAACUCGCGAGAGCUAGCAAAUCCCAUAAACCGUGGCUCAGUUCAGAUCGUAGGCUGCAACUCGCCUACGUGAAGGAGGAAUCGCUAGUAAUCGCAGGUCAGCAUACUGCGGUGAAUACGUUCCCGGGCCUUGUACACACCGCCCGUCACACCAUGGAAGUUGGCCAUGCCCGAAGUCGUUACUCCAACCCUUGUGGAGGAGGACGCCGAAGGUGGGGCUGAUGACUGGGGUGAAGUCGUAACAAGGUAGCCGUACCGGAAGGUGCGGCUGGAUCACCUCCU